GGACCAAGGAGUCUAGCAUGUGCGCGAGUCAUUGGGACUUACGAAACCUAAGGGCGAAAUGAAAGCGAAGGCCGUCGCACGGCGUGCCGAGGGAGGAUGGGUUGCGCCCCGGCGCUUCCCCGCACUCCCGGGGCGUCUCGAGCUCAUCGCGAGCUGAGGCGCACCCAGAGCGUACACGCUGGGAUCC
rnacentral:rRNA from 1 species